CGUAGGUGGCAAGCGUUGUCCGGAUUUAUUGGGUUUAAAGGGUGCGUAGGCGGUUUUCUAAGUCAGCAGUGAAAUACGGCAGCUCAACUGUCGAGGUGCUGUUGAUACUGGGGAACUUGAGUACUGAUGAGGUAGGCGGAACGGACGGUGUAGCGGUGAAAUGCUUAGAGAUCGUCCAGAACACCGAUAGCGAAGGCAGCUUACUAAGGAGUAACUGACACUGAGGCACGAAAGUGUGGGGAUCAAACAGGAUUAGAUACCCUGGUAGUCCACACUGUAAACGAUGAUUACUCGAUGUGUGCGAUACACGGCACGCGUCUUAGCAAAAGCGAUAAGUAAUCCACCUGGGGAGUACGCCGGCAACGGUG
rnacentral:rRNA from 1 species